rnacentral:lncRNA from 1 species
UUAAGGUUCCGCUAAAGUCAAAAUCAUGUUCAACUUUAAACUUUAAUAUCAGACUAUAUACUGGAUAAAACAUACCAUAUUAUAUAUCAAAAUCUUCCUUGUGAUGGGCACUAUUCAAAUUAAACAAUUCUAAACAACAAUAUAUGUUCAUAAGUCAAAAAUUCUGUAUACAAGUAAGUCCAUCUUCUAAAAAAUCCAGUAAUGUCCUAAGUCACAAAAACCCUGAAAAAAAGACUUUAAAGUAUAAAUCAAGUGUCUAUCUAGUACAAGCUACCAUUUAUUAACAUUAAAAUGCAUGCAACAGGUCAUAUUCAGUUAUUUAAAUGUGUGGCAUUUAAGAAAAAUUGAAGGCCA